GGCCUCGUAGCUCAUCUGGUAGAGCGUGCGCUGUAUAAAAGCGUAGGCGGCGUCCACGCGUGGGUUCUAAUCCCAUAGAGGAUA
rfam:Echinostoma caproni strain Egypt genome assembly, scaffold: ECPE_scaffold0026172